CCUACGUGAGGCAGCAGUGAGGAAUAUUGGUCAAUGGGCGCGAGCCUGAACCAGCCAAGUAGCGUGAAGGAUGACUGCCCUACGGGUUGUAAACUUCUUUUAUAAAGGAAUAAAGUGAGGCACGUGUGCCUUUUUGUAUGUACUUUAUGAAUAAGGAUCGGCUAACUCCGUGCCAGCAGCCGCGGUAAUACGGAGGAUCCGAGCGUUAUCCGGAUUUAUUGGGUUUAAAGGGAGCGUAGAUGGGUUGUUAAGUCAGUUGUGAAAGUUUGCGGCUCAACCGUAAAAUUGCAAUUGAUACUGGCAGUCUUGAGUACAGUUGAGGUAGGCGGAAUUCGUGGUGUAGCGGUGAAAUGCUGAGAUAUCACGAAGAACUCCGAUUGCGAAGGCAGCUUACUAAACUGCCACUGACAUUGAUGCUCGAAAGUGUGGGUAUCAAACAGGAUUAGAUACCCUUGUAGUC
rnacentral:rRNA from 1 species